rnacentral:rRNA from 1 species
AGCAGCCUCUGGUCGAUAGAAUAAUGUAGAUAAGGGAAUUCGGCAAAUUAGAUCCGUAACUUCGGGAAAAGGAUUGGCUCUGAGGAUUGGGUGUUUAGAACCUUACUAGGACAAUGGAAACUAACUAGGACUUGUCGCAAGACAGGACCCUGUUGGAUGAAGUUAGAAUUGUGAGGAGCUCUUGCACAAGUAACAAUCGACUCAGAACUGAAGCGGACAAGGAGAAUCCGACUGUUUAAUAAAACAUAGCAUUGUGAUGGCGUGAAAACGUGUUGACACAAUGUGAUUUCUGCCCAGUGCUUUUGAAUGUGAAUAUGAAGUAAUUUGUAGAAGCUCAGGUAAACGGCGGGAGUAACUAUGACUCUCUUAAGGUAGCCAAAUGCCUCGUCAUCUAAUUAGUGACGCGCAUGAAUGGAUCAAUGAGAUUCUCACUGUCCCUAUCUACUAUCUAGCGAACCCCACAGCCAAGGGAACGGGCUUGGAAUAAUCAGCGG